rnacentral:tRNA from 1 species
GGCGAUCGUAGCCAAGUGGUUAAGGCAGUGGAUUGUGGUUCCACCACUCGCGGGUUCAAUUCCCGUCGUUCGCCC